rnacentral:tRNA from 1 species
GGCUCGGUAGCUUAGUUGGUAAAGCGCUCGUCUAGCAUACAAGAGUUCUGGCUUCGAAUCCCAGCCGAGCAC